UUAAUACUCCCUCCAUCCCAAAAUUCUUGUCUUAGAUUAGUCUAGAUACGGAUGUAUCUAAUACUAAAACAUGACUUGAUACAUCCGUAUUUAGACAAAUUUAAGACAAGAAUUUUGGGACGGAGGGAGUAUAUA
rnacentral:pre_miRNA from 1 species